UUCGAUUAUGGCUCAGAUUGAACGCUGGCGGGAUGCUUUACACAUGCAAGUCGAACGGCAGCACGGACUUCGGUCUGGUGGCGGGUAGCGAACGGGUAGUAUCGGAACGUGCCUAGUAGCGGGGGAUAACUACGCGAAGCGUAGCUAAUGCCGCAUACGCCCUUCGGGGAAAGCGGGGGACCUUCAGGCCUCGCACUAUUAGAGCGGCCGAUAUCGGAUUAGCUAGUUGGUGGGAGUAACGGCUCACCAAGGCGACGAUCCGUAGCUGGUUUGAGAGGACGACCAGCCACACUGGGACUGAGACACGGCCCAGACUCCUACAGGAGGACAGCAGUGGGGAAUUUUGGACAAUGGGGAAACUGAUCCAGCCAUCCCGCGUGUGCGAUGAAGGCCUUCGGGUUGUAAGCACUUUUGGCAGGGGAAAGAAACGGCACGGGAUAAUACCCCACGUGCAACUGACAGUACCUGCAGAAUAAGCACCGGCUAACUACGUGCCAGCAGCCGCGGUAAUACGUAGGGUGCAAGCGUUAAUCGGAAUUACUAGGCGUAAAGCGUGCGCAGGCGGUUCGGAAGAAAGAUGUGAAAUCCCAGAGGCUUAACUGGAACUGCAUUUUUAACUACCGAGCUAGAAGAGUGUCGGAAGUUAAAAUUCUUGAUAACAGCGAUGAAGACCGUGUUAUGGAGGACUUGCCGGUGCGAAGCAACCUCUAAGGAGUUGCUGCCGGCGCUCAUGCGGGACGUGAACGGCUGGACUGAUUCUACCUGGCCAGAUGCCGCCACAGCGAUAUCAACUGGCUGACGGGGCGUGGGUGCCGGGCGCGCAGCUUAACGCGUGAAGACAACACAAGGAGUGAUGCGGGAUAAACUCAAAGAUGCGACGGAACCACACCGGCAGUGGACGAUGUGGUCCCAUUCUGAUGCAACGCGAAAACCCUACCGCGGGCGUGUGUGAUCCAAGGGGACGGAGUGCUACCCAGAAGAACGGAACCUGGUGCUGCGUAUCUGGUGGAAGCUCGUGUCUGACGGAGAUAAUGGGUUGGUCCGCAGCAGGCGCGACCGUAUCAUUGUUUUCAGAAGGGCACUCUGGCAGACUGCAGCCAAACCGGAGAAGAUGGGAACAAUCAAAGUCUCCUUUUCCAUGGUUGGGCUGCAUCACUUGAUGAAUUCGGGACGAGGUCGCUGGCGAAAGCCGCGAGGAGCCAAUCCCGAAACCCGAUCGUAGUCCGGAUCGCAGUCUGCAACUCGACUGCGUGAAGUCGGAAUCGCUAGUAAUCGCGGAUCAGCAUGUCGCGGUGAAUACGUUCCCGGGUCUUGUACACACCGCCCGUCACACACCAUGGGAGUGGGUUUUACCAGAAGUAGUUAGCCUAACCGUAAGGGCGAUUACCACGGUAGGAUUCAUGACUGGGGUGAAGUCGUAACAAGGUAG
rnacentral:rRNA from 1 species